rnacentral:rRNA from 1 species
CCUACGGGCGGCUGCAGUGAGGAAUAUUGGACAAUGGAUGGAAAUCUGAUCCAGCCAUGCCGCGUGCAGGAAGACGGCCCUAUGGGUUGUAAACUGCUUUUGUAUGGGAGCAAUAAGGUCUACGAGUAGAUCGAUGAGAGUACCAUACGAAUAAGGAUCGGCUAACUCCGUGCCAGCAGCCGCGGUAAUACGGAGGAUCCGAGCGUUAUCCGGAUUUAUUGGGUUUAAAGGGUGCGUAGGCGGUUAAAUAAGUCAGCGGUGAAAGUUUUCAGCUCAACUGGAAAAAUGCCGUUGAUACUGUUUGGCUAGAAUAUGGUUGCUGUGGGUGGAAUGUGUGGUGUAGCGGUGAAAUGCUUAGAUAUCACACAGAAUAUCGAUUGCGAAGGCAGCUCACAAAGCCAUUAUUGACGCUGAGGCACGAAAGUGUGGGGAUCAAACAGGAUUAGAUACCCCAGUAGUC